AUUGAACGCUGGCGGCAGGCUUAACACAUGCAAGUCGAGCGAGCGGCGGACGGGUGAGGAAUGUCUGGGAAAAUGCAUGAUGGAGGGGGAUAACUAAUGGAAACGGUAGCUAAUACCGCAUACCAUCAGAUGUACUCAGAUGGGAUGAGCUAGGAGGUGGGGUAAUGGCAUACCUAGGCGACGAUCCCUAGGUUGUCUGAGAGGAUGACCAGCCAGAUCGGAGCGGAGACACGGUCCAGACUCCUACGGGAGGCAUCAGUGGGGAAUAUGGCACAAUGGGCGCAAGCGUGAUGGAGACAUGCGGCGUGUGUGAAGAAGGCCUUCUGGUGGUAGAGCACUUGCAGCGAGGAGGCGUUACUCGCAGAAUAAGCACCGGCUAACUCCGUGCCAGCAGCCGCGGUAAUAC
rnacentral:rRNA from 1 species